rnacentral:lncRNA from 1 species
UGGGAAUCCAUGUUUCAUUUCUCUGUAGCUUCAUAACACAUGUUGAACACCUUUGAGUACUGGCCUCUGUUUAAAGAUGGGAGCGGGUGAUUUGACUUUCUGCUAGGGAAUGUUAUGACCCAGUGGAAGAAGUAAGGUCUUAGAACAAAAGACCGGAAAAGAGAAGAGCCUCUGAAGGUUGGAGGAGAACAGGUUCCUGAGGCAAAUGGAUGGAACUAGAAGAAACCAUCCUGAGUGAGGUGACCCAGUCACAAAAAGAUUAACAUGAGCCUUCAUCCAGAAGCUGUUUGAAGCCAAAACAGGCACCCACAGCCAAGCACUGAACCAUACUACUGGAAUCCUGUUGUGGAGAGGGAGGAGGGAUGAGCAAAGGAGCCAAGACAGAGCUGGAAAAACCCUCAGAAACAGUGGACCUGACCUAGUGAGAGCAUGGAGACGCUAGUCAUAAAGCUGAGGAAACAGCAUUGGACCAAACCAAGCCCUCUGAAUGUGGGUUCCAGCUAGGAGGCCAAGACAGUCUAUGGGACCUCUAACAGUGGAGCCAGUCUUUAUCCCUAGAGCACAAGUGGACUUUGGGAGCCCAUUCCCUAUGGAGAGAUAAUAUUGCAGCCCAGAUACAGCAAGGAGGGCCUACAACCUCCCCCAAAUGAUAUGAUGGACAUUGAAGGUCCCCAUGGAGGGCCUCACUAUCCCUGGGGAGGAGCUGGG